GUUAAAAUUGAAUAAAACUUGUUUCAUCAUGUCGGGGGCCUUUAACAUGAAGUUAAUAAUAAUGAUCAAAUCAGCUAAAACGGUUGUUUCUAGUUUUAACCGACUUGGAUUACAAAUUGAAUCCUUUACAUUCCUUGGUGAAAACCCUGGAGUAAACUGUAUUCUACCAUACAUCCAGCUAUUUUCUGAUAAUUGCCAUCAAGAAUCGGGACGAAAUUGUCAGCCAGUAUUGUCUGAUAUGUACCCAAUAACACUGCAUAGUUGAAAGAGUGAAUCAAAAUUGAUCUGCGCGUGAGCAUGAGUCAUCGCCAUCGGGCAAAGAUGAGGACGAGGUGGAAAUAAGCGUUAAAUUAAUAACAGAUCAAGGUUGCAAUCAAACACGUGCACGUGGUGUAUUUUUUUUACAUUUUACUAUAAACAAACAUUAGGAAUUUUACGAACAUAACGCCAUUUAACAGUAAAUAAUGUAAAUCGCAUAAAGUUUUAAUAUCUCUACGAAUAAAUUAUUCGAAAAAUAAACUUAUUUUUGUAUCUUUUCAUUCUUCUACGUGACUAGGAGACAUUCUUGUCGGCAAAAUGUUAACAUCUUUAUUGAAAUAUUUCCCAUUUAUUCAGUUUAUC